AUUGAACGCUGGCGGCAGGCCUAACACAUGCAAGUCGAACGAGAGGCGGACGGGCGAGUAAUGUCUGGGAAACUGCCUGGUGGAGGGGGAUAACCAUUGGAAAAGGUGCCUAAAAACGCAUACGAUCAGAUGUGCCCAGAUGGGGGUCGCUAGUUGGUGGGGUAGCGGCUCACAAAGGCGACGAUCCCUAGCUGGUAUGCGAGGAUGACCAGCCACACUGGAAGUGAGACACGGUCCAGACUCCGACGGGAGGCAGCAUUGGGGAAUAUUGCGCAAUGGGCGAAAGCCUGAUACAGCCAUGCCGCGUGUAUGAAGAGGGCCUUCGGGGUGUAAAGUACUUUCAGCGGGGAGGCGUUACCCGCAGAGGAAGCACCGGCUAACUCCGUGCCAGCAGCCGCGGUAAUUC
rnacentral:rRNA from 1 species